AGUUACCGCGACCCUUGAAAGCCAGUUUGAUGUUAUGGACUGACGUAAAGCACCACCAUAUGGAAGUUAUUGACCGAAUGUUUUCCAUUCCUGACCUCGAGAGGUGAUCUUUUCUAUUUACUCGUUGAUGCACUCGUUCUUGAUUUUUGACCCGUGCGUCUGUUUGUGGCAGGACUUURUGUCGGGUGUUUGGAGUUGACCUCSUAGAGCCAAGGAGAGGAGCUCUGCUGGAGCUGUACGUGGAAACUGUGCUGUUUUGCAGAAAGCAAGGAUUCAAAAAAGAGCAAACCUCUGCACUUUUGUCAAUCAUCAAGUCCAUUCAUGAGGCCAACAUUGAAACGCCUCUGGACAACAAAGAUCAGUGUCUCAAGUAUUCCGAGGAGCUCCUGCUCUUACACUCAGUCAGGCGCCCACCAUUUAGUGCCAACCUGUUCAGCUUYAUGGAGGUGAACUGUAUAUUAAAAUACAUCAACGACCAUUACAUGAGGCACUAUAAACUCUACAAGUACAUCUUUACACCUGAGAUGUUAAAGCGGCGGAGCAAAAUGAGUCGGUGCAGGAAACCUCAGACGGUACACUCACAGAUCACCACAGGACCCAGUUCGGCUGCAGCACCCCUCAACUGGUUUCUCUCGUCUCCUCCUCACUUCCAGGCUUGGUGGAUUUAAAGGCGCUGAUAGAGCAGGAAGUCAACCAGGGGAUGAAGCGCGUGUCUGAACAGCUGGAGGAGCGCUUCAACAGCCCGGCCACGGAGACGAUAAAAAAAACAAACAGACCUCAAAAUGACACUUGAUGAAAUAAGAACAAAUUGAACCAUUUGUUUUAAUGUCAAUAAAAACAUUUUGUCCACA